ensembl:lncRNA
GCACAGCAGAGAAGAAACACCUGGAUCAGAGCUAUCCAUGCUCUACCAAGGUUUUCCAGCACACAGCUCUGACUUACUACAGUAGCUAUGUUGGUAUUGUAAUUCAAACAAUGUGUAGACAGGUUGCUUAGGUUUCAAAUCUACGAAAAACAACCAACAUAGCUACAGUAACAACAACAAAAGCAAGACUAGGUGGAUUGCAGGAUUGGGGUCAAUUUGAAUUGAAGGCAGUCAAUUCAGGAAGUGAAACACAAUUCCCAUUCAAUAAUUUAACUGAAAUGUAGAAGUUAUUUAUUAAACAUUUAAACAUUUUUAAAAAAUGAACAAACACCUGAGAGUUUUGUGAAGUUAUAGAAAUGACUUUAAGACAGUUCAUUGAAUCAUAAUGAAGAUCAUAACCCAGUUAUCUAGUACAACCUGCUCUACCGUCACUAAACUUGUUUGUAAAGAAUGUCAUUUGUCUCCAAGUGCUCGCACGCAACUCUCACAAGACAUUCCUUACCUUUGAAAGCAAGAUAAAAAUAAGAACAUCUGAAAACGCCCCACCCCCUCAAAACAAAGAACGGAGCAUUUAUACAUUACAUAUUACACAACGGAAAGUCAAAUAGAGAGACAAAUUGAAUCCUCUUGAUUGCAUUUCUUAAUUGUUGCUUCAAGGAAGAGUAGCUGCUGAUGGUAACAGCUGAUGGAAAUCCUAGUAAAAGAAUAACCCAGUUAUCUAGUACAUUCUGCUCUGCCAUCACUGAAAUUGUAGGAAAAUAAUGUAAUUUGUCCUUAAGUGUGCACAUGAAAAGGUUAAUUUAUGAAUCAUAAAUUAAUCAGUAAUGCCUGUAUAAUGCCUGUAUGUGUUUGUAACAUGUAUGACACUUUAUCCACAUCUAUACAAUUAAUUGAAUACAAAUAUCACUGAACUUGUGUUCAAAGAAUGUCUUGCCAUUUUCUCAGGAAACAAACUAAACUAAAAACACUACGACAUACCUGUCUGCCCAUUAAGCAUGUAAGUUGCAACAAAGACAUACAAAUGACUAUAAUGGAGCUUUAACAGUUAACAAUACAAAGUAUCUGAUGACACAGAAGUGGGUGUAGAUGUUUAUAUGGUUGCACACAACCUUCCAUAUUUAAAGAGACUCACCUGAGUAUCACGGGUCAUACUGCACGGCAGGGAGGACACCUGGAUCAACAACUCAGAGCGUUGGAGGAAGGUUUUCAUACAAUCUACUGGAUAACUAUAUGGCUCGAUCGACUCAACAGCAUGUCAACAUGACAUCACCACAUUCUCAUCCCAUGAUUUCGUUCAACGUUUUCCUUUCGUAAUGUUGUCCAGAGGGUGUUGAACAACCUACAUCAGUGAUCUGACAAAGAGCAAGUCCAACCUCAACCAUCACUCAUAAAACACUCAACAAUAUAAAUGAAUUCAUCGGAAUCAUCAUCAGAGACAGAGGACGAUAUGAGUCAACCCUUAUCAGGAUCUACUCAACACAGUGCUAGACCCUAAAAGUGACAGGAGCUCCACGUUAGAUAAUCAUCAGCACAACACAUUUAGAGGUUAUCUUCAAGAAUUCACCUCCUCUCUGAAGCUAGUGGACAUAUGGAGAUUACAGAACCCUAAUUUAAAACAAUUCACUUACUCUAAAAAUACUAAAACCUCAGAGUCUGGAUCUAGGUUAGACAUGUUCUUUGUGACAAGAUUCAUGCAGACACAAAACAUUACUCACAGCUGUAGAAUCCAUGAUAUCUGUGAGGUAAAAGGAAGAAAACAUGUUUCCGAUCACAAACCAGUCAUUCUGGAGCUCUACCUUCCUGCCAAAGCAGACAGUUCCACUCCCUCCACACUAGAAUGUAGAAAUACAGAGGUUCUGACAACGUUACCGGAGGAUCAAUACAAUGACAGAACAGGAAAAAUAUCUGGGUCUGAGAUAGUAAUGGCAAUAGAAUCUCUGACUGGCUCUGGACAACCAACACUUGGUACAAAACCUGACCUGAUAACAACCGAACGCUUAAAGCGGACAUAUAAUAAAGAACACAAAGCUUCAGAAAUGACAGCCAAUGAAGGGACGAUAUUUGCUAAAAUACUAGAAAGUCGUCUACAAAUGUACCUUCAGUUCUCAAUCAAAGAAAAGAACCGAGGUGAACCGUCACAGAGUUUGCCUUAUCUUGUUAAGUUGGACAUCGCAACCAAGAUUAAGAGAAACUUCUUGGAAGAAGUCCUUUUGUCCAUAAAGUGUUCUAAACCAUCUCCUAAAUCACCUGACCCUAUUAGCUUCACAUUUUUAAGGGAAGUGCUUUCUCGUGACAUUACCAACUGGUCAAAGUUGCUUCCAAUUGCCGAUCAUACUUUAGGUGACAAGAGACGGUUAAACCAUGACUGUCCUCUCACCCAAACUCGACUUGCCUUAUGCCUGAAGAAUUUACAAUACAAGAUUUAUGUUAAAACUAAGAUAACCAGUGUGUGGUACUUCAGACGGUGUUGUCUGAUACACAUGGAAGAAAAGGAAUUGCCAACUGUGACAGCUGUACUCCGUAAAUUCAGAGAAGACUCUGGGCUUAGUAUUACCACAGAGAUGAAACUAUGCUUUUGCCACCAGGCCACAAACCCAGAACAGUGAAUUAAGGUCAAACCCAGAACCAGUCCUGAAGAUCAUGUAUUAUAGUCAAACCCAGAACCAGUCCUAAAGAUAAUGUAUUAUAGUCAAACCCAGAACCAGUCCUAAAGAUCAUGUAUUAUAGUCAAACCCAGAACCAGUCCUAAAGAUCAUGUAUUAUAGUCAAACCCAGAACCAGUCCUAAAGAUCAUAUAUUAUAGUCAAACCCAGAACCAGUCCUAAAGAUCAUGUAUUAUAGUCAAACCCAGAACCAGUCCUAAAGAUCAUGUAUUAUAGUCAAACCCAGAACCAGUCCUAAAGAUCAUAUAUUAUAGUCAAACCCAGAACCAGUCCUAAAGAUCAUGUAUUAUAGUCAAACCCAGAACCAGUCCUAAAGAUCAUAUAUUAUAGUCAAACCCAG